AGAGUUUGAUCAUGGCUCAGGAUCAACGCUGGCGGCGUGCCUAACGCAUGUAAGUCGAACGCAGGACCUUCGGGUCUUGAGUGGCGAACGGCUGAGGAACACGUACGAACCUGCCCGCUUGUGGGGAAUAACUCACCGAAAGGUGUGCUAAUACCGCGUACGCUCACAGGAAACUGUGAGGAAAGUCGCAAGACGCUGGCGGAGGGGCGUGCGGCCCAUCAGGUUGUUGGUGGGGUAAUGGCCCACCAAGCCAAUGACGGGUAGCUGGUCUGUGAGGACGAUCAGCCAGACUGGGACUGCGAAACGGCCCAGACACCUACGGGUGGCAGCAGCGAGGAAUCUUCCACAAUGGGCGAAAGCCCGAUGGAGCAACGCCGCGUGGAGGACGACGGCCUUCGGGUUGUAAACUCCUUUCGGGGGGGAUGACACUGACAGUACCCCCAGAAGCAGCCCCGGCUAACUCUGUGCCAGCAGCCGCGGUAAUACAGAGGGGGCAAGCGUUGUCCGGAAUUACUGGGCGUACAGCGCGCGCAGGCGGACUGCCACGUGCCGUGUGACAAGCCACUGCUCAACAGUGGAGGGCCAUGGUACACGAGCAGUCUGGAGGCAGGGAGAGGGAUGUGGAAUGCCCGGUGGAGCGGUGAAAUGCGUAGAGAUCGGGCGGAACACCAGCGGCGAAGGCGGCAUCCUGGUCCUGUUCUGACGCUGAGGCGCGAGAGCGUGGGGAGCAAACUGGAUUAGAUACCCCGGUAGUCC
rnacentral:rRNA from 1 species